AUACGCCCUGAGGGGGAAAGUGGGGGAUCUUAGGACCUCACGUGAUUGGAGUGGCCGAUGUCAGAUUAGCUAGUUGGUGAGGUAAAGGCUCACCAAGGCGACGAUCUGUAGCGGGUCUGAGAGGAUGAUCCGCCACACUGGGACUGAGACACGGCCCAGACUCCUACGGGAGGCAGCAGUGGGGAAUUUUGGACAAUGGGCGCAAGCCUGAUCCAGCCAUGCCGCGUGAGUGAAGAAGGCCUUCGGGUUGUAAAGCUCUUUCGCAAGGGAAGAAAUCGGCAAUGCUAAUAUCGUUGUCGGAUGACGGUACCUUGACAAGAAGCACCGGCUAACUACGUGCCAGCAGCCGCGGUAAUACGUAGGGUGCGAGCGUUAAUCGGAAUUACUGGGCGUAAAGCGUGCGCAGGCGGUUGUGUAAGACAGGUGUGAAAUCCCCGGGCUUAACCUGGGAACUGCGCUUGUGACUGCACGGCUAGAGUACGGCAGAGGGGGGUGGAAUUCCACGUGUAGCAGUGAAAUGCGUAGAUAUGUGGAGGAACACCGAUGGCGAAGGCAGCCCCCUGGGCCUGUACUGACGCUCAUGCACGAAAGCGUGAGGAGCAAACAGGAUUAGAUACCCUGGUAGUCCACGCCCUAAACGAUGUCAACUAGUUGUUCGGAGAGGUAACUUUCUGAGUAACGCAGCUAACGCGUGAAGUUGACCGCCUGGGGAGUACGGCCGCAAGGUUAAAACUCAAAGGAAUUGACGGGGACCCGCACAAGCGGUGGAUGAUGUGGAUUAAUUCGAUGCAACGCGAAAA
rnacentral:rRNA from 1 species